GCCCCAUUAGCAGUGUGCUGACGGCAGCUGUACAUCUGGACUGGCCCGGUUCAGGAGGGCAGCGCUGGGUACUCCUACCCAAACCUCCAGGAGCUCCCUUCAGACCAAAGCCAGCUUCUCGUCCACCAAUAAGCUGUGAACCGCUUAGGAGAGACCUUGUCUCCUAUUCUGGGGCCUAGUAUGGAAGCCGGCACAAAGCAGGUUCUCAGUGCCUGCUGAUGGAACUGUGCUUCUCAAGAACCUAUACGUGUUGAACCACUCUGAGAUCUGGGGUCUCCCUGAUACUCGGCUUCCCUCUCGACACACAGAUGAGUCACCAUCACCUGGUGAGAAUUAAAUGCGAUAACAGGUACAGAACUCUGUAAACUGUGAGGUUUUCACUGAGCUGCAAGGAGAACUGUUUUCAAGCGCAAGCUGACGGGAGCUCAUCUGACAAUAAUACCCGUUGGUUCCACCUUCAGAUACAGCCAGAAUGGGGUCCGCUCUCCCCGCAACACCAUCACCCCGUGCUGAUGCAGGCCGGGGAAAUGACCGAACUGGGAGCCACCUGCCUCCACUCACAACCUGGCUCUGUACUUGCGAGCUGCGUGCACCAGGCGAGCUCCUUAUCAGGCCUCUUUGCCUGGCUUUUCAGCUGGAAAGUGGGAGCAGUAAUAGACUGGACUUUGUCAGGCUCCUGUGAAGACUAGUUUAGAUGGACAAGGAACUUAAAAUGGUGCCUGGCACAUCGUAAGUGCUAUAGAACCAGCUGCACCACCCAGGUCAGCCCUUAUGAAGUCCCCAUGAGCAGAGCCCAUAAGCUAUUCAGAGAGCAUGGAUUGGCCAGAAUCCAGCCUGCCAUUGGACCAAAGAUGUGGGGACCAUUACAUCUUCUUAGACCCGCAUGAACCUCUCUUCACCUUUCAACAUAAGAAUGAUGCCUAAUUGUUACUGAGCAUUUACUUCUGCUGAGCCCUUAACACACUUUAGCUUAUUGUAUCUUCACAGCAGUUGGAGAAAUGAGGCUCUAAAGGUCAAAUCACCUAUUUGGGUCCUGUGGCCAGACUUGGUGGCUAAACCAGAUUGCAAUCCAGGCAUCUGUGACCCAAGCACUCAUCCCUGGACGGAUGUCACUCCAGGGCGGUCAGAACCAGCCCGUCUCCCUACCACUUAGCCAGGCCUUCGACGGCCGUCACUCAGGCACUUCCCCACUACUUUCCAUUCUCCCAGCACAGAUGCUCGGCUGAACCCAAAGCCACGUCCCUUCUAAUUCCAUUCUGAUGAGUGUCUCAAAGAUCUUGUCUUUAUACCUCAGAGCUGAGCACAGUGCCUGGCCCAGUCAUGUUAACAAAUGUUCAUUGAAUAAAGGAAUGACUUGUUUAGACUCCAUCUCAGUGCCUCGUACUUGCUUUCCUCCUGCAAAGUUGUCUCCAUGCCUAGUGUUCAAUCCACAUUUCUCUCUACUUUCAAAGCCGAAUCUAACACUUGAUAAUUUUUCUGUUGGUUAUGAGUGUACUUUGAUGCAAAAUGUAAGGGGGAAUAAAUGCCUUAGAAACAUGUUAA